UUACGGCCAUAUCACGUUGAAAAACCGGUUCUCAUACGACCCCCGAAGUUAAGCAACGUCAAGCCUGGUCAGUUACCUAGAUGGGUUUCCCCAUAGGAAUACCAGGUGCUGUAA